CAGGAAGAGCGCGUCAAGCUAAAGGAUGAGGUUCUGGACAUGUAUGGGGAGAUGCGGGACUCCGUAGAUGAAGCCAGGCAGAAGAUCUUUGACAUCCGGGAGGAGUACAGGAACAAGUUGCUGGAGGCGGAGCGUCUGAGGAUGGAGGCGUUGGCAGCGCAGGAAGCCGCAGUGAAGUUGGAGGCGGAGAAGAAGACCGCAGCCUCUGACCCACAGAAGAAGAAGAAAGGAGGAAAGAAAAAGUAGCGCCGCCCCACGUUGCACUAUGCCACAGCGGGAGCGUCGGACGCACUGUCAGUCACGGUGCCUCUUGGUCAAACAUUAGAUCAACUGAACCAGAGAAAAUGUCCCGCACUCAUGGUUAAUACAUUUUAAUGUUAACAUGUUGGUUUUUGCUACAAAAUAUUUGAAGGCACUAGCUUCUCAAAUGUUCUAAUUUCAUUAAAAUCGUUAACAAAU
rnacentral:lncRNA from 1 species